UGUAGUCUGGGGAUCUUCUUGGGAACUGGUGGGAGCUUUGCCUGUGUGGUUUGUGUGUAGAGGCAUGUUUGGGAUUAAUUGUGCCUAUAUUAACUUCAAGUAAUUUUAGUAACAUGGACCCUCUAAUUCUUCUUGUUCUAACCCUGGGCCGGCUUUGAGGGGUGGGAUGGAAGAACACGUGUGAUGUGUCUUCAAACACUGGGCCGCUCUGCUUGAGCCUGUUUCCCCUUCUCAUACCCCUCUUCGGGGACAGCCCGGGUACAAUCUCUGCAGUGUCCAGCAGAGGGAGCCCUAGCCACAGUCCCGACAGAGAGGCAGGUGGGGCCAGGAAGCAGCACAAGCGAUCUGCCCUCUUCUUUUAGGCAGAAAACGGUGUGGAGGAGGAGGAAGGGAAGUAUGAGGAGAGAUUUGAGAGAAUGAAAAAAACAAUGUCGUCGUUAUAAAAAAGCAGCGAGGAAGAAGUUGCUGCGGUUCGUUUUUUCUCUUCAAA